rnacentral:rRNA from 1 species
GUACACUCCUGCGGGAGGCAGCAGUGGGGAAUAUCGCACAAUGGGCGCAAGCCUGAUGCAGCCAUGCCGCGUGUAUGAAGAAGGCCUUCGGGUUGUAAAGUACUUUCAGCGGGGAGGAAGGCGAUAAGGUUAAUAACCUUGUCGAUUGACGUUACCCGCAGAAGAAGCACCGGCUAACUCCGUGCCAGCAGCCGCGGUAAUACGGAGGGUGCAAGCGUUAAUCGGAAUUACUGGGCGUAAAGCGCACGCAGGCGGUCUGUCAAGUCGGAUGUGAAAUCCCCGGGCUCAACCUGGGAACUGCAUUCGAAACUGACAGGCUAGAGUCUUGUAGAGGGGGGUAGAAUUCCAGGUGUAGCGGUGAAAUGCGUAGAGAUCUGGAGGAAUACCGGUGGCGAAGGCGGCCCCCUGGACAAAGACUGACGCUCAGGUGCGAAAGCGUGGGGAGCAAACAGGAUUAGAAACCCCUGUAGUCCC